rnacentral:rRNA from 1 species
GAUGAACGCUGGCGGCGUGCCUAAUACAUGCAAGUCGAGCGAACAGACGAGGAGUUUGUUCCUCUGACGUUAGCGGCGGACGGGUGAGUAACACGUGGAUAACCUCCCUAUAAGACUGGGAUAACUUCGGGAAACCGGAGCUAAUACCGGAUAAUAUAUUGAACCGCAUGGUUCAAUAGUGAAAGACGGUUUUGCUUUCACUUAUAGAUGGAUCCGCGCCGCAUUAGCUAGUUGGUGAGGUAACGGCUUACCAAGGCAACGAUGCGUAGCCGACCUGAGAGGGUGAUCGGCCACACUGUAACUGAGACGCGGUCCAGGCUCCGACGGGAGGCAGCAGUAGGGAAUCUGCCGCAAUGGGCGAAUGCCUUACGGAGCAACGCCGCGUGAGUGAUGAUGGUCUUCGUAUCGUAAAACUCGGUUAUUAUGGAAGAACAAAUGUGUAAGUAACUAUGCACGUCUUGACGGUACCUAAUCAGAAAGCCCCGGCUAACUACGUG